GAUGAAGAACGUAGCGAAAUGCGAUAAGUAAUGUGAAUUGCAGAAUUCAGUGAAUCAUCGAAUCUUUGAACGCACAUUGCGCCCGCCAGUAUUCUGGCGGGCAUGCCUGUCUGAGCGUCAUUUCAACCCUCAUGCCCCUAGGGCGUGGUGUUGGGGAUCGGCCAAAGCCCGCAAGGGACGGCCGGCCCCUAAAUCUAGUGGCGGACCCGUCGUGGCCUCCCCUGCGAAGUAGUGAUAUUCCGCAUAGGAGAAGCGACGAGCCCCUGCCGUUAAACCCCCAACUUUCUCAGGUUGACCUCAGAUCAGGUAGGAAUACCCACUGAACUUAAGCAUAUCAAUAAGCGGAGGA
rnacentral:misc_RNA from 1 species